rnacentral:rRNA from 1 species
CGGACGAGUGCUUACCUGCAGUCGAACGAUGAAGCCCAGCUUGCUGGGUGGAAGAGUGGCGAACGGGUGAGUAACACGUGAGUAACCUGCCCUGAACUCUGGGAUAAGCACUGGAAACGGUGUCUAAUACUGGAUACGACCUAUCACCGCAUGGUGUGUAGGUGGAAAGAUUUAUCGGUUCUGGAUGGACUCGCGGCCUAUCAGCUAGAUGGUGAGGUAAUGGCUCACCAUGGCGACGACGGGUAGCCGGCCUGAGAGGGUGACCGGCCACACUGGGACUGAGACACGGCCCAGACUCCUACGGGAGGCAGCAGUGGGGAAUAUUGCACAAUGGGCGCAAGCCUGAUGCAGCAACGCCGCGUGAGGGAUGACGGCCUUCGGGUUGUAAACCUCUUUUAGUAGGGAAGAAGCGAAAGUGACGGUACCUGCAGAAAAAGCACCGGCUAACUACGUGCCAGCAGCCGCGGUAAUACGUAGGGUGCAAGCGUUGUCCGGAAUUAUUGGGCGUAAAGAGCUCGUAGGCGGCUUGUCGCGUCUGCUGUGAAAUCCCGGGGCUCAACCCCGGGCCUGCAGUGGGUACGGGCAAGCUAGAGUGCGGUAGGGGAGAUUGGAAUUCCUGGUGUAGCGGUGGAAUGCGCAGAUAUCAGGAGGAACACCGAUGGCGAAGGCAGAUCUCUGGGCCGCUACUGACGCUGAGGAGCGAAAGCAUGGGGAGCGAACAGGAUUAGAUACCCUGGUAGUCCAUGCCGUAAACGUUGGGAACUAGAUGUAGGGCCUGUUCCACGGGUUCUGUGUCGUAGCUAACGCAUUAAGUUCCCCGCCUGGGGAGUACGGCCGCAAGGCUAAAACUCAAAGGAAUUGACGGGGGCCCGCACAAGCGGCGGAGCAUGCGGAUUAAUUCGAUGCAACGCGAAGAACCUUACCAAGGCUUGACAUAACCGAGAACGCUGUAGAGAUACAGAACUCUUUGGACACUCGGUUACAGGUGGUGCAUGGUUGCCGUCAGCUCCGGGCCG